rnacentral:rRNA from 1 species
GACAGAGGGUGCAAACGUUGUUCGGAAUUACUGGGCGUAAAGCGCACGUAGGCGGAUUGUUAAGUGAGGGGUGAAAUCCCAGGGCUCAACCCUGGAACUGCCUUUCAUACUGGCAAUCUCGAGUCCGAGAGAGGUGAGUGGAAUUCCGAGUGUAGAGGUGAAAUUCGUAGAUAUUCGGAGGAACACCAGUGGCGAAGGCGGCUCACUGGCUCGGUACUGACGCUGAGGUGCGAAAGCGUGGGGAGCAAACAGG